rnacentral:rRNA from 1 species
GACGAACGCUGGCGGCGUGCUUAACACAUGCAAGUGGAGCGACGAACCGGGCUUCGGCCCGGGGCCAAGCCGCGAACGGGUGAGUAUCACGUGGGUAACCUGCCCCGAUGACCGGGAUAACCCGAGGAAACUCGGGCUAAUACCGGAUGUGCUCUCCGCACAUCAGUGCAGAGAGCAAAGGAAGCUUCGGCCUCCGCAUUGGGAUGGGCCCGCGGCCCAUUAGCUUGUUGGUGAGGUAACGGCUCACCAAGGCUGCGAUGGGUAGCUGGUCUGAGAGGACGAUCAGCCACACUGGGACUGAGACACGGCCCAGACUCCUACGGGAGGCAGCUGUGGGGAAUCUUGCGCAAUGCGCGAAAGCGUGACGCAGCAACGCCGCGUGAGGGAAGAAGGCCUUCGGGUUGUAAACCUCUUUCAGGAGGGACGAAGGUCCAGGCGCGAAUAGCGUCCUGGACUGACGGUACCUCCAGAAGAAGCCCCGGCUAACUACGUGCCAGCCGCCGCGGUAAUAC